rnacentral:lncRNA from 1 species
CAUAGUCCAAGUGGUUUAUAAAUGAUAGUUUCAUUUGUUAAUUAAUUGUAACAAAUUCAGAUUCUCAGUAAUCUUCUGAUGCUUGUUGAUGACUUCACGUCAUUAGAUGUUAUUCUAAGCCUAGUUGUGUUAUAUUAGUAGUCUUUUUAGUGGACUAAUAUGUUCCUAUGCGCGGCGCAAAGGAACUGGUGCGUGGCGCAGGAUUUAGAGACAGAAUGGAAGGAAGCCGAGCUCUGAAGAUUUGGCUUGAGGAGUAUUUGUUUUCUGCGCGAGGCGCAGCCUCAUCUUAUCCGGCGUAUAUUGAUCAUUUUCACCUGGUGCGUGGCGCCAGCGGGAAUUCUAUAUAAAGAAAACUCAUUUUCUUGAACAUGGUUACAAAUUUUUACAGAAGAUUGAGAGAAAAGUUGUGUCCCAAGCCUUGCUACCGAAGAUUUCGAUUGAAGAAUCAAGAUCCAAGUGCAAUCCAUGAUGAAUUCAUCUUUAUCAUCCAUUGAUUCCUUCCAUCUUUCCAUGGAUUUCUAAAUUCACUUAGAUUGGAUCUUUAGGUGAAUCUAGGUCAGUUUAUUGGAUCAUGUAAACUUGUUUUCCUUUAAUGAAAUGGUGAAUUAGUUUCAAUUGAUUAUCCUUUAUGCUUAUUGUUUCAUAUAAUUUGG